GCCCUUCUGUAAAGCACUCGCAGGGUCUGUGUGCAAUGGCUCGGUGAGUUGUCGCGGAAGGGCAGAGCAAAGGCAUCACUUUUGGGUGAAGUGGCAGCUUGUGCUGUUGAUUUCAAUCAGUGGUGCGACAUUC
rfam:Cuculus canorus isolate BGI_N303 unplaced genomic scaffold scaffold642, whole genome shotgun sequence.